rnacentral:rRNA from 1 species
GUUUGUACACACCGCCCGUCAAACCACGAAAGUUGGCAAUACCCCAAAAUGGUAGCCUAACUCGUUUAUUCGAGAGGGCGCUGUCUAAGG